rnacentral:tRNA from 1 species
UGGUAAAAAGAGGAGUCAAACCCCUGUGAAUGAAACUACAAACCAUUGCCUGAUCGCUCGGCCAUUUUACC